AUUGAACGCUGGCGGCAUGCCUUACACAUGCAAGUCGAACGGCAGCACGGGAGCAAUCCUGGUGGCGAGUGGCGAACGGGUGAGUAAUAUAUCGGAACGUGCCCAGUCGUGGGGAUAACGUAGCGAAAGCUACGCUAAUACCGCAUACGAUCUAUGGAUGAAAGCGGGGGAUCGCAAGACCUCGCGCGAUUGGAGCGGCCGAUAUCAGAUUAGGUAGUUGGUGAGGUAAAGGCUCACCAAGCCGACGAUCUGUAGCUGGUCUGAGAGGACGACCAGCCACACUGGGACUGAGACACGGCCCAGACUCCUACGGGAGGCAGCAGUGGGAAUUUUGGACAAUGGGCGCAAGCCUGAUCCAGCAAUGCCGCGUGCAGGAUGAAGGCCUCGGUUGUAAACUGCUUUGUUACGGUAACGAAACCGGUAGAGCGUCUAAUAC
rnacentral:rRNA from 1 species